AUUGAACGCUGGCGGCAUGCCUUACACAUGCAAGUCGAACGGCAGCACGGGAGCAAUCCUGGUGGCGAGUGGCGAACGGGUGAGUAAAGUAUUGGAACGUGCCCAGUCGUGGGGGAUAACCUAGCGAAAGUUACGCUAAUACCGCAUACGAUCUAUGGAUGAAAGCGGGGGAUCGCAAGACCUCGCGCGAUAGGAGCGGCCGAUAUCAGAUUAGGUAGUUGGUGGGGUAAAGGCUCACCAAGCCGACGAUCUGUAGCUGGUCUGAGAGGACGACCAGCCACACUGGGACUGAGACACGGCCCAGACUCCUACGGGAGGCAGCAGUGGGGAAUUUUGGACAAUGGGCGCAAGCCUGAUCCAGCCAUGCCGCGUGCAGGAUGAAGGCCUUCGGGUUGUAAACUGCUUUUGUACGGAACGAAAAGGUUUGACUUAAUACGUUGGACUCAUGACGGUACCGUAAGAAUAAGCACCGGCUAACUACGUGCCAGCCGCCGCCGUAA
rnacentral:rRNA from 1 species